CCUACGGGUGGCUGCAGUGAGGAAUAUUGGUCAAUGGGCGGGAGCCUGAACCAGCCAAGCCGCGUGAAGGAAGAAGGCGCCAAGCGUCGUAAACUUCUUUUGUCGGGGAACAAAGGGCGCCACGUGUGGCGUUGUGAGUGUACCCGAAGAACAAGCAUCGGCUAACUCCGUGCCAGCAGCCGCGGUAAGACGGAGGAUGCGAGCGUUAUCCGGAUUUAUUGGGUUUAAAGGGUGCGUGGGCGGUCCGGAAAGUCAGCGGUAAAAGCCCGGGGCUCAACCCCGGCGCGCCGUUGAAACUGUGGGAAUAGAGACGGCGAGAAGUAAGCGGAAGGCGCGGUGUAGCGGUGAAAUGCAUAGAUAUCGCGCAGAACUCCGAUUGCGAAGGCAGCGUACCGGCGCCGGACUGACGCUGAGGCACGAAAGCGUGGGUAUCGAACAGGAUUAGAUACCCGGGUAGUC
rnacentral:rRNA from 1 species